UCAGAGGAUAGGCUUGCUCUUAUCUUUCCCAUCCUAAGGAUCCCUCAACUCAGAGCAGGCAGAGUCGUCAGAAGGGGCAGAGUGGAUACUGCUGGCGUUUGCAGCCCUCCAUAGGUCAGGGAUUCGACCAAAGAACACCCAGCCUCGAUCAGAGUUUCUUUGUGUAGCCCCGGCUCUCCUGGAGCUUGCUAUGUAGAGCAGGCUGCCCUCCAACUGAGAGAUCCUCCUGUCUAAGCCUCCUGAAUUCUGGGAUUUAAGACAUGCACCACCGGGCAUGGUCCGGUGUGGCCCGUCUCCUCUCCUGGGACGAGAUCUGGAUGUCCCGGGCCCCUCGGGUCCCCUGGUGGGGACCAUGAAGGACAGCAUCUACCGGAACCCAGAGGCCGGCACUCCGUGGGCAAGAAAGCAUACCAAGUGUUCCUGUGGCCCUUCUCCUUUCUCUUGG
rnacentral:lncRNA from 1 species